GAUGAACGCUGGCGGCGUGCCUAAUACAUGCAAGUCGAGCGAACGGACGAGAAGCUUGCUUCUCUGAUGUUAGCGGCGGGCGGGUGAGUAACACGUGGAUAACCUACCUAUAAGACUGGGAUAACUUCGGGAAACCGGAGCUAAUACCGGAUAAUAUUUUGAACCGCAUGGUUCAAAAGUGAAAGACGGUCUUGCUGUCACUUAUAGAUGGAUCCGCGCUGCAUUAGCUAGUUGGUAAGGUAACGGCUUACCAAGGCAACGAUGCAUAGCCGACCUGAGAGGGUGAUCGGCCACACUGGAACUGAGACACGGUCCAGACUCCUACGGGAGGCAGCAGUAGGGAAUCUUCCGCAAUGGGCGAAAGCCUGACGGAGCAACGCCGCGUGAGUGAUGAAGGUCUUCGGAUCGUAAAACUCUGUUGUUAGGGAAGAACAUAUGUGUAAGUAACUGUGCACAUCUUGACGGUACCUAAUCAGAAAGCCACGGCUAACUACGUGCCAGCAGCCGCGGUAAUACGUAGGUGGCAAGCGUUAUCCGGAAUUAUUGGGCGUAAAGCGCGCGUAGGCGGUUUUUUAAGUCUGAUGUGAAAGCCCACGGCUCAACCGUGGAGGGUCAUUGGAAACUGGAAAACUUGAGUGCAGAAGAGGAAAGUGGAAUUCCAUGUGUAGCGGUGAAAUGCGCAGAGAUAUGGAGGAACACCAGUGGCGAAGGCGACUUUCUGGUCUGUAACUGACGCUGAUGUGCGAAAGCGUGGGGAUCAAACAGGAUUAGAUACCCUGGUAGUCCACGCCGUAAACGAUGAGUGCUAAGUGUUAGGGGGUUUCCGCCCCUUAGUGCUGCAGCUAACGCAUUAAGCACUCCGCCUGGGGAGUACGACCGCAAGGUUGAAACUCAAAGGAAUUGACGGGGACCCGCACAAGCGGUGGAGCAUGUGGUUUAAUUCGAAGCAACGCGAAGAACCUUACCAAAUCUUGACAUCCUUUGACAACUCUAGAGAUAGAGCUUUCCCCUUCGGGGGACAAAGUGACAGGUGGUGCAUGGUUGUCGUCAGCUCGUGUCGUGAGAUGUUGGGUUAAGUCCCGCAACGAGCGCAACCCUUAAGCUUAGUUGCCAUCAUUAAGUUGGGCACUCUAAGUUGACUGCCGGUGACAAACCGGAGGAAGGUGGGGAUGACGUCAAAUCAUCAUGCCCCUUAUGAUUUGGGCUACACACGUGCUACAAUGGACAAUACAAAGGGCAGCGAAACCGCGAGGUCAAGCAAAUCCCAUAAAGUUGUUCUCAGUUCGGAUUGUAGUCUGCAACUCGACUACAUGAAGCUGGAAUCGCUAGUAAUCGUAGAUCAGCAUGCUACGGUGAAUACGUUCCCGGGUCU
rnacentral:rRNA from 1 species